AUUGAACGCUGGCGGCAGGCCUAACACAUGCAAGUCGAGCGCGAAGGUUCUUCGGAAUGAGUAAAGCGGCGGACGGGUGAGUAAUACAUGGGAAUCUGCCUGGUAGUGGGGGACAACGUUUCGAAAGGAACGCUAAUACCGCAUACGCCCUACGGGGAAAGGGGGGAGUCUUCGGACCUCUCGCUAUCAGAUGAGCCCAU
rnacentral:rRNA from 1 species